rnacentral:rRNA from 1 species
UACGUAGGGUGCAAGCGUUGUCCGGAAUUAUUGGGCGUAAAGAGCUCGUAGGCGGUUUGUCGCGUCUGCUGUGAAAAUUCGGGGCUUAACUCCGGGCCUGCAGUGGGUACGGGCAGACUAGAGUGCGGUAGGGGAGACUGGAAUUCCUGGUGUAGCGGUGAAAUGCGCAGAUAUCGGGAGGAACACCGGUGGCGAAGGCGACUACCUGGCCUGUUUCUUGACGCUGAGGCGCGAAAGCGUGGGGAGCGAACAGG